UCGUGAGAUGUUGGGUUAAGUCCCGCAACGAGCGCAACCCUCGUCCUCUGUUGCCAUCAGGUCAAGCUGGGCACUCUGAGGAGACUGCCGGUGAUAAACCGGAGGAAGGUGGGGAUGACGUCAAGUCAGCAUGGCCUUUAUGUCCAGGGCCACACACGUGCUACAAUGGCGGAUACAAAGCGCUGCAAACUCGCGAGAGUGAGCCAAUCGCAUAAAGU
rnacentral:rRNA from 1 species